rnacentral:rRNA from 1 species
CCUACGGGAGGCAGCAGUGAGGAAUAUUGGUCAAUGGACGAGAGUCUGAACCAGCCAAGUAGCGUGAAGGAUGACUGCCCUAUGGGUUGUAAACUUCUUUUAUAUGGGAAUAAAGUGUUCCACGUGUGGGGUUUUGUAUGUACCUUAUGAAUAAGGAUCGGCUAACUCCGUGCCAGCAGCCGCGGUAAUACGGAGGAUUCGAGCGUUAUCCGGAUUUAUUGGGUUUAAAGGGAGCGUAGGUGGAUUCUUAAGUCAGUGGUGAAAGUUUGCGGCUCAACCGUAAACUUGCCGUUGAAACUGGCGGACUUGAGUAUACUAGAGGUAGACGGAAUUCGUGGUGUAGCGGUGAAAUGCUUAGAUAUCACGAAGAACUCCGAUCGCGAAGGCAGUGUACCGGAGUAAAACUGACGCUGAGGCUCGAAAGUGCGGGUAUCAAACAGGAUUAGAUACCCGAGUAGUC